GUCGAGGGGUAUAUGUCUUCGGAUAUAGAGACCGGCGCACGGGUGCGUAACGCGUAUGCAACCUACCUUUCACAGGGGGAUAGCCCAGAGAAAUUUGGAUUAAUACCCCAUGGUAUAUAGAGAUGGCAUCAUUUUUAUAUUAAAGUCACAACGGUGAAAGAUGGGCAUGCGUCCCAUUAGCUAGAUGGCAAGGUAGCGGCUUACCAUGGCUACGAUGGGUAGGGGUCCUGAGAGGGAGAUCCCCCACACUGGUACUGAGACACGGACCAGACUCCUACGGGAGGCAGCAGUGAGGAAUAUUGGACAAUGGGCGCAAGCCUGAUCCAGCCAUGCCGCGUGCAGGAUGACGGUCCUAUGGAUUGUAAACUGCUUUUAUACGGGAAGAAACCCCGCCUCGUGAGGCGGAUUGACGGUACCGUAAGAAUAAGGAUCGGCUAACUCCGUGCCAGCAGCCGCGGUAAUACGGAGGAUCCAAGCGUUAUCCGGAAUCAUUGGGUUUAAAGGG
rnacentral:rRNA from 1 species